AUACGUAGGUGACAAGCGUUAUCCGGAUUUACUGGGCGUAAAGGGCGUGUAGGCGGUCUUGCAAGUCAGAAGUGAAAUUCCUGAGCUCAACUCGGGCGCUGCUUCUGAAACUGCAGGACUUGAGUGCUGGAGGGGAUAGCGGAAUUCCUAGUGGAGCGGUAAAAUGCGCAGAUAUUAGGAAGAACACCGGUGGCGAAGGCGGCUAACUGGACAGUAACUGACGCUGAGGCGCGAAAGCGUGGGGAGCAAACAGGAUUAGAUACCCUGGUAGUCCACGCCAUAAACGAUGAAUACUAGGUGUAGGGGGUAUCGACCCCCUCUGUGCCGACGUUAACACAUUAAGUAUUCCACCUGGGGAGUACGGCCGCAAGGCUGAAACUCAAAUGAAUUGACGGGG
rnacentral:rRNA from 1 species